GAUGAACGCUGGCGGCGUGCCUAACACAUGCAAGUCGAACGGAGAUUACGGACGGAAGUUUUCGGAUGGAAGCCUGUAAUUCUUAGUGGCGGACGGGUGAGUAACGCGUGGGCAACCUGCCCUAUACAGGGGGAUAGCAGCUGGAAACGGCUGGCAAGACCGCAUAAGUCGGUUAAAUCGCAUGAUUUGAUCGGGAAAUGAGCAAUCAGGUAUAGGAUGGGCCCGCGUCCGAUUAGCCAGUUGGCAGGGUAAAAGCCUACCAAAGCGACGAUCGGUAGCCGGACUGAGAGGUCGGACGGCCACAUUGGGACUGAGACACGGCCCAAACUCCUACGGGAGGCAGCAGUGGGGGAUAUUGCACAAUGGAGGAAACUCUGAUGCAGCGACGCCGCGUGAGUGAAGAAGUAUUUCGGUAUGUAAAGCUCUAUCAGCAGGGAAGAUGAUGACGGUACCUGACGAAGAAGCCCCGGCUAACUACGUG
rnacentral:rRNA from 1 species